GACGAACGCUGGCGGCGUGCUUAACACAUGCAAGUCGAACGGUGAAGCGCCUUCCUUUUUGGUGGGUGUGGAUGAGUGGCGAACGGGUGAGUAACACGUGAGUAGCCUGCCCCCUUCUUCUGGAUAACCGCAUGAAAGUGUGGCUAAUACGGGAUAUUCUGGGUCUGUCGCAUGAUGGGUCUGGGAAAGAUAUUGUUUCGGUGGGGGAUGGGCUCGCGGCCUAUCAGCUUGUUGGUGGGGUGAUGGCCUACCAAGGCGGUGACGGGUAGCCGGCCUGAGAGGGUGGACGGUCACACUGGGACUGAGACACGGCCCAGACUCCGACGGGAGGCAGCAGUGGGGAAUAUUGCACAAUGGGCGCAAGCCUGAUGCAGCGACGCCGCGUGAGGGAUGGAGGCCUUCGGGUUGUGAACCUCUUUCGCCAGUGAAGCAGGCCUGCCUCGUUUGUGGGUGGGUUGACGGUAGCUGGAUAAGAAGCGCCGGCUAACUACGUG
rnacentral:rRNA from 1 species